rnacentral:lncRNA from 1 species
AAACAAAAAUUAUAAAAUUUUAACAGACAAAAAUAAAUAAAAAAUAAAAUAUUUAAAAAUAAUAAAAAAUAAAAAAUAAAAAAUAAUGUCAUAAUUUACAAUAAUUGAAUAAUAAUAAUUAUAAUAAUAAUAAUAAUAAUAAUAAUAAAUUAAACCAAUUAAAACCAUUUAAGAAAAUUUAUGGGAUAAAACAAUAAAAAAUACAUAUAUUCUAGAAUUUACAAUAAAAACAAAUGUCCAGAAAAAAAUAAUUUUCCACAAAAAUAAUUGUGCAGCACAACUGUUUUCAACAUUGAUAAUAAUCAGAAAUGUUUCUUGAAUCAUUAGAAUGAUUUCUGGAGAUCAUGUGACACUGAAGACUGGAGUAAUGAUGCUGAAAAUACAGCUGCACAUCACAGAAAUAAAUUACAGUUUAACAGAUAUUUACAUGGAAAAGCUAGUUUAAGUAGGUAUAAUAUUAAACAUUUUUUCCUGUCUAUUUUUUCACUCAUCCUUCUAUUAAACAUUUCCAUCAUGUGGUGUUUUUGCAGCUCGUGUCACAGAUAUUGAAGUAGGUAUAAUAUUAACAUUUUUCCUGCAUUUUUUCACUCAUCCUUCUAUUAAACAUUUCCAUCAUGUGGUGUUUUUGCAGCUCGUGUCACAGAUAUUGAAACUCUCUUUACAAAGCAGUGCAUGUUGAACUGAAGUCACUAUUGCAGCGCAAAAUGAAUAAAUGAAUAAACCGGCGGUUCAGACGCAGAAGCAAACAGAAUCUAUAACAACCUGAACACAGCCUUCACGAGACGGGCGUAAACAAGCCGCACACAUCACUACUGAGCUUGUACUGUUUUGGGGAAUAAUUACCAUUCAGAUCCAGUUUCUCCUGCAGGUUUCUAAUGGAUUGUGACAAGCUCUUCUCUGCUGAGAGCGUCCUGUGCUCCCUAAAGAGACAAAUAACCCUGUGUGUGUUCAGGGAGCAGGGAAACGCCAGGCUGCUCCAGAUCCUCCUUUCCUUCAUCUGUGACUCAUGAAUUUAUGAUGGGACUCAAAACCGAGCUCUGAUUCUGCUUCUUUGUCCCCUUCACGAAUGCUGAUGGUUCACAAUGAAUAAUUCAGCGCUUUUUCGCUAAAAAAUUAUGAACAUGGAGUCUGUCGAUGGUGCUAUUUGAGCUAUUUUAACGCAUUAUACGUCUACUGUGAAAUGUUCUCUUUUGCUCACCAAGGCUGCAUUUAUUUGACGAAAAAUACAGUAAAAUCAGUAAUAUUAUGAAAUAGUAUUUACAUUUAAAAAACAGGCUUUUAAUGUGAAUAUAUUGUAACAAUUAAUUUAUUAAUGUGAUGCAAAACUUGAAUUUUCAGCAUAACUACAUGAUCCAUCAGAAAUCAUUAACAUAUAUUAACACUACCACAUCCACAAAAUUGGGGUAAGGUUUAAAAAUAAUAAUAAUAAUACUUUACAUUAUCAAGGAUGCAUAAAAUUGAUCAAUAGUUAUCAUCUGUGAAUCCUGAAAAUAAAAGCAUCACAGUUUCCACAGAAAUACUAUUUUCAUUAUUAAUAAUAAUCAGAAAUGUUUCGAAUCAGCAUAUUAGAAUGAUUUCUGAAGAUCAUGUGACACUGAAGACUGGAGUAAUGAUGCUGAAAAUACAGCUGUGCAUCACAGAAAUAAAUUAUAUUUUAACACAUAUUCACAUAGAAAACAGCUGUUUUAUAUUAUAAUAAUAUUUCACUGUUUUGGCUGUAUUUUUGAUCAAAUAAAUGCAGCCUUGGUGAGCAGAAGACCAGACUUUUGUAAAUACUUUUAAUUUUGAUUCAUUGAAACGGACAGUUCAUGAAAUGAAUCAUUUACCAAAUCCAGCACUGCAAAACAAUUAAGAAUCAUAAAACUAGUUUAAUGUCACACUCAUUAGGAAAAUUACCAGCCAGAUGAAAAGCACAUAAAACUGAUUGUAAUACUGACAAUGUAACAAUAAAUAAAUAAUGCAAUUAUUAAAUAUGUCACGGAAUGCUGCAAUAAAUAAAAGUACAAUUUAUACAAUAAAUAAGACAUGCAAUACAUGCAUUUAUUCUUCAUUUAACAUUAAAAAGGACUGAAAUACAACCUUAAAUACCCUCAUGACAAUACAAUAUAAAACAAAUCAAUAUAUCACAAAACAACUGAAUAUAUAAUGAAAUGUUGGAAUCAAUAAACGUAAACCUAAUGAAAAGUGAGUACGG